rnacentral:rRNA from 1 species
AUUGAACGCUGGCGGCAGGCUUAACACAUGCAAGUCGAGCGGGGGAAGGUAGCUUGCUACCGGACCUAGCGGCGGACGGGUGAGUAAUGCUUAGGAAUCUGCCUAUUAGUGGGGGACAACAUCUCGAAAGGGAUGCUAAUACCGCAUACGUCCUACGGGAGAAAGCAGGGGAUCUUCGGACCUUGCGCUAAUAGAUGAGCCUAAGUCGGAUUAGCUAGUUGGUGGGGUAAAGGCCUACCAAGGCGACGAUCUGUAGCGGGUCUGAGAGGAUGAUCCGCCACACUGGGACUGAGACACGGCCCAGACUCCUACGGGAGGCAGCAGUGGGGAAUAUUGGACAAUGGGGGGAACCCUGGUCCAGCCAUGCCGCGUGUGUGAAGAAGGCCUUAUGGUUGUAAAGCACUUUAAGCGAGGAGGAGGCUACUUUAGUUAAUACCUAGAGAUAGUGGACGUUACUCGCAGAAUAAGCACCGGCUAACUCUGUGCCAGCAGCCGCGGUAAUACAGAGGGUGCGAGCGUUAAUCGGAUUUACUGGGCGUAAAGCGUGCGUAGGCGGCUUAUUAAGUCGGAUGUGAAAUCCCCGAGCUUAACUUGGGAAUUGCAUUCGAUACUGGUGAGCUAGAGUAUGGGAGAGGAUGGUAGAAUUCCAGGUGUAGCGGUGAAAUGCGUAGAGAUCUGG